rnacentral:rRNA from 1 species
GAUGAACGCUAGCUACAGGCUUAACACAUGCAAGUCGAGGGGCAGCGGUAUCGAAAGCUUGCUUUCGGUAGCCGGCGACCGGCGCACGGGUGAGUAACGCGUAUCGAACCUGCCUCAUACUCGGGAAUAGCCUUGCGAAAGUAAGAUUAAUGCCCGGUGUUUUCAGAGUCCCGCAUGAGGCUUUGAACAAAGAUUUAUCGGUAUGAGAUGGCGAUGCGUCCCAUUAGCUUGUUGGCGGGGUAACGGCCCACCAAGGCAUCGAUGGGUAGGGGUUCUGAGAGGAAGGUCCCCCACAUUGGAACUGAGACACGGUCCAAACUCCUACGGGAGGCAGCAGUGAGGAAUAUUGGUCAAUGGGCGGAAGCCUGAACCAGCCAAGUAGCGUGCAGGAAGACGGCCCUCCGGGUUGUAAACUGCUUUUAGUUGGGAAUAAAACGGGGCUCGUGAGCCCCCUUGCAUGUACCAUCAGAAAAAGGACCGGCUAAGUCCGUG